rnacentral:rRNA from 1 species
GACGAACGCUGGCGGCGUGCUUAACACAUGCAAGUCGAACGGAAAGGCCCUGCUUUUGUGGGGUGCUCGAGUGGCGAACGGGUGAGUAACACGUGAGUAACCUGCCCUUGACUUUGGGAUAACUUCAGGAAACUGGGGCUAAUACCGGAUCGGAGCUCCUGCUGCAGGGUGGGCGUUGGAAAGUUUCGGCGGUUGGGGAUGGACUCGCGGCUUAUCAGCUUGUUGGUGGGGUAGUGGCUUACCAAGGCUUUGACGGGUAGCCGGCCUGAGAGGGUGACCGGCCACAUUGGGACUGAGAGACGGACCAGACGGCUACGGGAGGCAGCAGUGGGGAAUAUUGCACAAUGGGAGGAAGCCUGAGGCAGCAACGCCGCGGGCGGGAUGACGGCCUUCGGGUUGUAAACCGCUUUCGCCUGUGACGAAGCGUGAGUGACGGUAAUGGGUAAAGAAGCACCGGCUAACUACGUG